rnacentral:rRNA from 1 species
GUGGGGAAUUUUGCGCAAUGGGCGAAAGCCUGACGCAGCAACGCCGCGUGGGUGAUGAAAUCCUUCGGGAUGUAAAACCCUGUCAGCUGGGACGAAACGUCCCGCAAGGGAAAUUGACUGUACCAGCAGAGGAAGCCCCGGCUAACUCCGUGCCAGCAGCCGCGGUAAUACGGAGGGGGCAAGCGUUGUUCGGAAUUACUGGGCGUAAAGGGCGUGUAGGCGGUUGGGUAAGUCAGUUGUGAAAGCCCCGAGCUUAACUUGGGAAUUGCAACUGAAACUGCCCGGCUAGAGUUCAGGAGAGGAGAGCGGAACUCCCAGUGUAGCGGUGAAAUGCGUAGAUAUUGGGAGGAACACCGGUGGCGAAGGCGGCUCUCUGGACUGAAACUGACGCUGAGGCGCGAAAGCUAGGGGAGCAAACGGGAUUAGAUACCCGGGUAGUCC